rnacentral:tRNA from 1 species
GCCGAUGUGGCUCAACGGUAGAGCACGGCUUUCGUAAAGCCGGGGUUGAGGGUUCAAAUCCCUCCAUCGGCU